GUCAGCUCAAGAGACUAUUGUUGUCAUUGCUGUGGAUCUUUACCUGAUACACUGACUUGGCUCGGGACCAGCACUCCUGUUGUUGGACAGAAAGACAUCAACUCAGUGACUUGAGAUAUGACU